CGCGGCAUUCCGCUGGGUAAUCCCAGACUCCUUCUGACGUCUUUUUUUAAGAAAGCUUGAUUUCUCAAAAAGGACUGAACCGAGAUAGAGGGAGUGACUCCUUGGCUACUGACAGCAGAGCUCCACGUGAGUGGGACUUGGCGUUUUCUUUUUACAAUAGUUCAUGUAAAUCGGA
rnacentral:lncRNA from 1 species